UGCUUUGUGUCUGUUGUCUUCAAUUUGGUAGAUGUCUCUUUUAUACAGCUCCUAAGUGAAAGACAGUGUGUUUCAACAUCCCAUGCUAAUUUCUGUAUAGGUUUCCUCCUUUUGUCUUCUCUACUGUGCAGGUAACAGGUCAGCAAUAACAACAAACCCACAGUUUUAGGCUCUCAGAGUAAUUUGAGAGAUUAACUGUACUAUAGAUAUACCAACGAUUUUGGUACAGUGUCAACAGGAAAAGGUGAAAUCACAAACUACUACAGCUUGAGAUCUUGAAUUUAAUAAGAGAAUGGCUCUGGUUCCUAGUUUUUAGUACAUUGACCAAUCAGAUAUUGGCAGGUUUCAUUGUCUGUAUGGAGAGCAAAAGCAGGAGGAACACAAUCCACAGUAAUGACAUCCCAUUGACAACACUGAUUUCUUUAACUUCUAUUCAACAGACAAACAUUUAAAAGUUUUCCUCUCAUUUUAGGGACAGACCUGACAAAGAUUGAGUUCUUACUCCUUUUAUUAAUCUACACCAUGUUUUUUUUUCAGCAAACUAAAGACCUGUUUAUUGAAGAAAAUCGUGAAAAAACAGUUUCUUCCUAAUGUUCACACCCCUGACAUCACCCAGAAUAACACCUCUGCAUAGCGUGCUAUUUACAGCGAAACUGAGACUCACCACAAAGUGAUGAGCAGGGGCUAAUCCAAGGCAUGUAACAGUGGGUAAGCUUUAAACCUAGCAUGGCUGGAAGUGGUUUACCAUUGACCCAAAAGAAGCUGGAAAUAGAGAUAAUUGACUUUGGGAAAGUUUUAGCCUAAACUAGGAUCUACUUUCCCUAACUCGAUGAAAGUGUGGUGACUUACAUUUUUAGAUGGGCACAAAAAGGUUUAGUAAAAGAUCUGGUCUGGUUUAAAAUAAUGAAUUAAUGUUAACUUGAGUCAUCCUCCAGAUUAGUAACCCUGAGAAUGCAGAAGUAAAAUAGUCUUACUAUUGUUUUUGCAGUUCACCCACUGUAAACACCCAGCUUCUCCAAGGAUAUUUGAAUUCGAUAAUAUAGUGAUAUAAUAAGGGUGAUUUUCAUAGGCAUGCAUGCUAAGACUGCUUUCACUCCUGCAGUGAUUCCACUUCCACCAAUGUUAUUGGGGUUGUGCUUCGGUGUUGCCAAGUUAAAAGCUUGUAAAAAGAGUAAAAGCUUGGUUUUUCACACUGACCCCAUUAAAGGAUCUUUCCCAAUAAGCCAUGACCAAACAAUAGUAGAUGUGCCAUCUCUAAGUGAUGCUGCUGGGUGAUUGAGUUCUCUGUAAAUAACGAGACAUUUUGCAGGGCGCCGGUGUGGCUCCUCCUGGAACACUCUGCAUGUUUUGGCAUUUUUCCUCCACUGCAUUCAUCCGUCUCAAUCUGCACUCUACUCCGUUAAGCAACGUUUAAGCAGCCAAUCAGUACAGAGCCUCAUUAAAGCAAACCGAAAGGCCGCAGAUCCUCUGUGUGGCAGAGUCAAGGUGACAAAGGUUAGUGCCUCACACACCAAUCGCUGUGUUUUCAGUUGCAAAACCUUACACAAAUGCCUGAACUUCUCCCAACACUGGAGGACCAAAAACAAUGGUUAGACAGUGGUUAAUACAGUUAGAGCUAAUUUGUUUGUCUCAACCACUUUACUUUGAGCUACUUCAGUAACGAAGGUCAACCAUAUUAACUUAACCAUGUUACUCAUGAAAGUAACAUAGUAAAAGCAGUAAGGAAUCACUCUAACAUUUUAACAUUUUUUUACAUUUUUAACACACCACUCAGAGAUAUGCUGAUGUACAAGUUGAUAUGUAACAUCUCAACUGUAACCUCCUCUUGUUCGAGUGCAGGUUCUUCUGGAAGGCUCACAAAAUCUGUUUUGAUUUUUUCUGCUUCUGCAUCUGUCAGUAACAGUCUAAAUCAGCAUGAUGACAGAGCGUCAUCAUAGCAUCAUCAUCCUCUCACUACAUGCACAAUGAGGUCAGAAACUGAGAGGCUGCAGAUCCUCAAUUUGUGAUGUUUUCGCAACAGAAUGGGAAUUCUUGCUUUUAAGUCAACUGGGACAAAUAAACAAUUCAAAAACUAUUAUAUAUACACCAUUAAAUAAAAGAGUGUCAUAUAAAGUGUCUUAAAUAGGGUCAAUUCAAGAAUCCUUGUGUUGUACCUGAGAGGAUAGAUUCAGAUCUACAACCUGAAUGAUGAAAUACCUGAAACAUGAAUUUUGUUGGGUACGGUGGUUCAUUAAAAAAAACAUCACUUUUAGAUUUAUUGAAUGUUGUAUAAACAUGACUCGAUCUGUAGUUCGUGCCCUCUAGAAAACUCUGACUCUCCUCCCCUCGUAUCUUUGCUCUCUUGCUAAUUACUUCUCAAAUUCGUCGGCUAAUUAAUAAAUGCAGAUGAGGCUUGAUUGGUUGGGGUGUGGGAUCAAACUUGCACCAUGGAGGGAGACUGGAAGACCCCCCUCUCUGCUUAUCAAGAUAUGGAGAUAAUUGCAAUUAAAGUCAUUUGCAUGCGUUAAUGAAUUUGUCUUAUGCUUGUCAUGAUCACAGACACGGAGUAAAUAAUUGAUUUCCUAUCAGCUCUGAGGCUUUGUGUGAAGUCAACAAACUCAGAGCUGCUGGCACUGAGGAGGAAAAUUCCACUAAAACUAAUGCAAUUAAAAGGAUUACGGUGAGGUUAAUUAAUGUAAUAAAUAGGUAGACAAGGUGUUGCCCCUGACCUCAGCUCAUGUUGCAGCUUUAACUGUUCUUUGCUUCAUUUGUUCUUUUGGCAUUUACAGUCCCUGCAGAUUUCUGUGAUUUCAGACAAUGAAAUCACAGAAAUCUUCAGAAACAGAGGGGAGGGGUGCUCCUCUCAUCUCAAGCUUUGGAAUUCUACAUACACACACGGAUGGGUAGGGGAGCCCUCAGAUCAGACAUUCCACCAAAUAUAACUAAUAAUAAAUCUCAAUGAAUGAAGCGGUCCCAAGUUGAACAAGAUUAUGUACUAUUUCUUCCCGUACAGACCUCUAAAUAUUGCACCCUGGACCAUAAAAAGUUAAAGAACUUGGUAACACUUUAUAUGAACCUGUGUCUUAUACAUUUACACAGUGUAAUAAGCCUAAUGAUGCUCACUGGGUAUAGCACUUCAUUAACAUUGUUAUGAGAUAUUAUGAAUAAGGAUUGUUAUAAAACCUUAUAGAUGCAUUGAUAAGACUUUAUAAAUGUGCUCAUGAUGCUUCAUAAGAGAUGGGUUCAUAUAAAGUGUAAUCAAUGCUGGAAGAAAAUAGGGUACAAUUAUACAUAACAAACAAAAUUGUAAAAAUUGAGUGAUAUUUCUGCAGAUGAUGCAAACUCCACACCCUUAAAAUUCAAAGACUUCAUGAAAUGUAGAAGAAAAUGUGUGUGUGUUUUGGUCCUGCAAAUCAAUGAGGCAGAUCUUCUUCGUUUGAAACUGUAAAUACCGUUCCACAUACCCACAUGGAAGGGAGGGGAGGUCGCAGAACAGGGCUGUACUGCAAAAGGGAACUUGGUGCAUGCAAAUCAUGAACUUUCUUUCAGUCAAACUGACGUUUGUGGUGCUGCCUACGCAAAUUAUGUCAUGAACAAACACAGCCCUGAAUAAAAGUUGACAACCAUAAUUGUUAUCAAGUAAAGCAGUUCUUUUAAGCUCACACAUGAGAUCUUUUGAAAUGCAGAACAUCUUUUGACUAUUUAUGUUCCCUUUAGAGUCAAAGGAUACUAUGAGAUAACUAUAAGAGAUGUCAUGAGAAAAUAGUGUGAGGCCACAUAUGUGCGAUAUUGUGUGUGAACUUCUGUUGGGUGAAAUGGGCUGCAGAAUCAGAAAUAAUGCAAAUUCAAAAUCACAUGAAACAAAACUAAUUUGCAGGCUUCAUCCUCAUGUGGUCUGAUAACUGGAUGCCUCUUAUUUCACAAUUUUGCAUCAACAAAAGGAUUUUGAUGUUCUCGAUGAUGAUGCAUUUGUUUUUUUUUUUGACGUUUUGCAGCAUGGUUUUAUCAUUUUUGCAUUUGUUUUGUAGUUUGUGCCUGUGUUUGUGAGUCUGCAGUCUUUUUUCUCCUUGAGGAAAUUGCUCAAGUUGGUGCAGCACGUUUGUCCUUGGCUACUAGCGAACGUACAUCCUGCCGGUGUUAUGCUGAAAGAUCAGAGCGUCUCCGUCCUUCAACUCCUCUGAUAUGAAAUGGAUCUGCUGUGAAGCGGAGAGCGUAAAACAAGAGACUGGAGCGGGGAUGUUUUUGGUGCUUAAUGAGGGAGGGGGGAUGGGUAGUAAUUUCAUCCAAUCAGAAUACUUUGAAUAAUUAAACUGAUCAACUUAAUUAGCUCAAUUAAGUUGAUUUGACCACGGAACAUUGCCAUAUGGCGCAAGGAAACAAAAGAGGGGGGAACUAAUUAAAAGUAAAAUAAUGAGGAUUUUAAUUAAGCGGUUCCCCAGACGUCAGCGAGCGGGGCUGUGGAGUUGUAAUUAAAAAGUCCUGUAGAGCUGGCAACACUCUCUCCCUCUCUGUUUUAAUAACGGCCAGGGCUCCAUCCAUCUAAUUAAAUCUGUAAAUGAAUUAGCAACAUUCAGGGUCCCUGCUUGAGUUUUACACCCCAAACCUCCCACUGCAGAGCUUCCAGAAAGUUCUCAUGGCUCUGCAAUAUCAGGGAGGAAGAGAGGCAGAAGGUCAAGGUGGAGGAGAGAAGACUCAGACUCAAGUCACUGAAACGUGAGCACUGUGACCGAGCCUGAACUCACCAGGAGAGAGCUGCUGAAUUUACCUGUGCUCACCUGUGCAUGCUGGGUAACGAAAGCAAACCAUAUAAUUAAGAUGAAAACAGGUACCGUGCCCUUGCAACAGGUUUUUCAGCACUUAAAGUAAGAAAACACUUGAAUAAUUACUCUGAUUGCAAGAAUAUGAAAUUUCACACGGGAACAAAACAGAUAUCCUCUUUGAUGCGUCAACAAUUUAUCAGAUAUGACAGAUGGAUUAGAGUCACAUUGAAAAAGUAAAAAAACUGGGAUUUCAAAAAAUGAAGUUGCUGUUGUAUAUAAAAUAAAGUCAUACAACAAUAAGAAAGUCAUAAUUUUCCAUAAAAAAGCUUCAUAAAAGAAAAUAUGCUUGUUUAUGAGUUGUUUCUUAACAAGAACUUAUUUAAUGAGAAUACGUUUUUUACAAAAAGAAGUUGUUAAUUUAUGACGAUUGAUUUGUAAUACUUUUGAGGCUGAAGCUGUAGUUUAAUGAGAAUGAAUAAUCAUAAAAUAAUGAAGACGUAGUCUUUUGAUGACCAAGUUAUGAGAAAUAAAGUGAAUUUAUGUGCUGUGAUUAAGAUUGUAAAUUUAACAGUAUAAAGUUGUAAUUCAGGCGGCACAGUGGUGUAGUGGUUAGCACUUUCUGGUUUGAAUCUGGGUCAGGGUGUUUCUGUGUGGAGUUUGCGCGUCCUUUCUGUGUCUACGUGGGUUUACUCCGGGUACUCCGGGUUUCUCCCACAUCCCAAAAAACAUGCCUAAGUGGGGUUAGGUUAAUUGGCCACUUUCAAAUUGCCAGUAGUUGUGAAUGUGAGCGUGGAUGGUUGUUGGUUUCUAGAUGUCAGCCCUGAGAUUCGCAUUCCCCAGAGAUUGUAAUUUCAGUCAAAUAUAGACAUUAGAGAAACAAAAUAAACUUUUAUGAGAACACAGCAGUUUUAAAACAAAUAAGUAUAUUAUUUAUAAAUUAAUUACAUUUAUAAAUUAAAUAAAUUUUCGAGACCAAGUUACACACUAUGUAAUGACUGACACUGUAUAAUACAAUUCACAUUAUAUUUUUAUUUUUGUACCAGCCUGUAAACAUGUUAAAUUCUGCUGCAAAGUUAGGAACCUUAAUAUGGGGCUGUAUGAGGAUUGACUCUUUCUUGGAGCUAGCCUCCAGUGGACACUAAAGGAACUGCAUUUUUUUUGCAGUCACUUUGGCACUUUUCAGCUUCAAACGUAGCUUCAUAGAUCAUAAGCAACUUAAUACUGCUUCUUAAAAUUUCUAGCAAAGUGUUCACAUUGACGAUCUGCGGGAUAAUGCAUUUCUCCACUAGAAGCAGCUUUACAAACUACUCCUUUAAUAAUAGGACAAGUAGUCUGGUUACAUUCAAAACAUCUAAACACAACCAGAUUUAAACGCACAAAGCUUUUGUCAGCUUCACUCUGAAGACUGAUCUUAUAUUUAACACCGUGGAGGAUAAAGUUUGAGAGUCCAGCAGCCGUCCUUCAGUAAUCCUCUCCUCACUCCUCUGUCUCUGUCAGUCUUCACCUUGUUCUGUAUUUCAUUUUGUUUAUGACUUCAGCGUGUCAUCACUCUCCUCCCUCCUCUGAGCGGCGGCGGCGAGGUGCCAAACCCCGUCCUCAGCAGGCCCACCAGGAGUACAGGCUUUCAUUAGCACUCUGUAAUUAGGAACAGAUGCAAUUUGCAGCACGGCACUCAGCUCACACAGCGGCUCACACACUCAAAGCUGCACACAGGGCUCGACUCACACAUCCUGCAGUUCAGUCACUGACACCGACCUGAACUCUGCUGCAGCUCAAAGUGACUUAAAAGGAUUUGAAUAUGGUUGUUCAAGUUCUUCAGGUAUUCCAAGAGCCUUUCUAUGAAAUUAAUGUACUUUUUUUAAGCCAACUUUGGAGUAAAAUAAAUGGAUGUAACCUUUGAGUCGGAGAAGAUUUUCUAGUACAAAGGCGUUAGGCCAAAGGUUUGAUGCACUGCUUGCUUAGGGAUGCUCCAAACAGGACACAAACUCACAGAAUAACAGUCCAUACUUGUUCCUCACCUUGUUUUGCUUCCUGUAAAGGAUCAGAGAAGGCGCAUAUAUUGGUUGUUAGCAACAUUCACGCCGUUAAAUGACAAGGUUUACAUGGGACAAAACUCAAGACCUUUCAUGAUAAAUAGGAGGCAGUUUUUCCCCCAAAGUGGGAGAAAGACUGCCUUAACAGUCAAAUUUUAUCUGUUUGUUUUGUAUUGUUUUAUGUUUACCCCUGGUGUAUUACAGUAGAAGGGCCAUCCAAAUAGUGACAUGUGACAUACCUAUGCCUGCAGGUUCAUCUGAAUCUUAAAGAAAAUGGGAGCUGGGAGAUUUGUUUCAUGUCACAUCCAAACUACAUCUUUGAAUUAUCAACAGACUCAGUCCGACCUCUUUGCAGCCUGUGCUUCACUUUGCACCCAGAUUGUACUCUGCUUGAAACCCAGCAAAAUGAAGAAAGACAUGCUCUUAUUUACCUUGCACCACAUGCUCUAGACAGUGCAUUGUGGGUAGUUAAAAUAGGGCCAGAAAUGGUACCAGUAUUUAAUAAAUGAACGCUGUGUUGUAAAAGACAUGGAACUGGAGAUAAAGACUGAAAAUUUAUUUAGAAAAUGUUUACUGAGGGAAUAAAUUAACUGUAAGAUGAUCAUUUUCUUUGAGUUCUAUACAAUCAGACGCCCCCUGCUGGUCAUUUAAAAGAGCACAGCUUCAAUGAACCUCAAUAUUGGUUUAAUUGUCUAAUUAAAGUACAGAAGUUCAUGUUUGAAACCAAAAAAGUCAUAUUGAAGGCAUUUCUCUCCUUAAUAAACUUUUUUUUCCCUGGUUGCUGUUUUUAUCCUUAAAGUGUCACACAGGUGGGUAUUACUGCGCUUUUUACAUAAGGGAACCUGUUCAGACUGGUGUUUCCAUCUCAUCCACUAAUGAUAAAAAGUAUUUACCUUUCUGUCUUAACAGCUGGUUACUGCUGGAGCUGCACAGACACAUCUGCAACCAAACACCCCUGUCCUCCCACUGCCCCCUUAGCCUGCACUACACUACCCAGCACCCCCCAAACCUCCUGAUAGUCCAGAUACAAUAUCACUAAUAUCCCUAAUUGGCUCAUUAAAUUGACACACAAGCCUGGACCAAGGCUGAGGCAGGGACCCUAAUUAGACACCUAAACAUGAAGCCAAGGGCGUUUUAUGGAGGGGCACUUUGGGGAAUGUUUUAAUGAGGACACGCUGCUGAGAAUAGCUUUAGAGUCAUUUGUUGACGCAGGAGCUGCACCCGGUGGCCAGCACUCCCUAACCUUACUCACUCAGACCCACACGCACACACUCACCAAUCCAGCGGAGUAAAAUAGAGGACAAACCUGAAGUCUUAAAGCCUCUUAGAUCCUCAUGGAGUCUCUCCUUUUUUUAAAAAGUGAAAUAACUGAGUGCAACAACCUAGAAAAGACCAGAAAAUCCUACACCUUUCUUUUUAUUGAGCACGGCAAAGAUGGAAAAACUCAGAGGUUCACAUUGUACGAAGUUAAGGGUUGAACCAGACACUGAUUUUUUUAAACAGUUCUAACUGAAGCAACAGAGGCUAGGACAAAGUAUUCAGACAACAAGGCAUUAAUCGACUAUUAUGCUGACAUGUGCACCACAAAUGUCAUUGCUUAUGAGUAGUGCAAACUUCAAGCUGCCCCCUAUGUUUGUAGUAUAUGCUAUUAAGAAAAUAAGCAUAAGUCUACAAAAGUCACUGUAGUUUUUUUCUGAAGAGUGGUUGGCAGUCUGAACCAAAACAAGAUAUAUGAAGUGUUUUAUUCAAUUAAAAAAUGAGUAGGGGAGAGUGGGGUAAGUUGAGUCAAAGUGUAGAAAAAAGUAAUUGAUCAUGUGACCAAAUAUUUAGGAGAUAGUGUAGUAGGGAUACGGCUCAACUAUGAUUGUCUUGAAGUGGUGAUCUGAAAUAUGAAAAAUGGCUCAUCUUACCCCACUCUGCCCUAUCAGAUGGACCUUUCUUACUCAUUCUUAAGCAGGGACUGGCUCCUGAUCUGGUAUCCCCGUCACAAAAGAACUGAUGUAUAACUAAUAUAACUGUAUAUUAGCUGAACAACAGUUUAAAAUCAAUGGAAGUGAACAACUGACAAACAUGUAAACUUGGUGUAAGUCCAGUAAAAAUGUAAUCCACAUUCAAUGUAUCCAUUAAGAUCUACAGAGGCUGUAUAUAGUCUUGCUCAAGUUGUCUGUGAUCCCUCUUACUGUUUAAGAGCAGAGUUUGGAUCCUUCUUCUUUCUGAGGUAAACUAACCGUGGGUAAACUCAGUAUGCCUUCACUGUUGCACCAACUUCUGCACUGCAA
rnacentral:lncRNA from 1 species